GGCGCCAUGGCUUAGUUGGGUUAAGCGCCUGUCUAGUACACAGGAUAUCAAGAGUUCGAAUCUCUCCGGUGCCU